AAAUAAGAAACAAUUUAUUGUAUUUAGUUUCGACCUAAAAUUCAGUCUUAUAGACCUUAUUUA
rnacentral:tRNA from 1 species